UCAGCCUCUGCACCAUCUUGCUGCCACACUGGCCUACCUCUCCUGGCCGGCAAGCCCCCUGGCUCCACAAAAAUGACCAGUCCAGCCAAGAGCAGGGCUUCACCCCUGAGCCAUGGAGCCCAAGUUUGCACAAAGGGGCCUUCAGACCAAGCAGGAAAUUCUACCUCCAGGGACUACUUUGGCUUAAAGCAGGGGACAGGGCCUGUUGUUGGGAACCCUUUAAGCUACGAAUGGUUUUUCAUAUUUGCAGAAUCAUUCCAUUUCAUGACGCGGGUGAAUUAUAUGCUAUUCAAAUGUUAAGUGUCCAUCAAUAAAGUUUUAUUGGCAUGGAGCUGUCCCUGUUUGAUGCCUGUGCCCUGAGAUGACAAAGAGGAGCUGUUGUGUUUGAACCAGUGACCUUGGAUUAUGACCCAAUGCCUGACCCUCUGUGCCACCUUGCUGUCUCCCGAAGCCUCCCCUUUGCCAUCUGGAAAAUGGGUCCCGUGAUUUCUUCCCCGUAUAACCCCCAGGCUUGCUGGAGGGCACCAUGUAGACAAUCAUGUAUCCCUUCAUCAGAAAUAGCUCCCUCUGGCAGCUUUCCGCAUCACCCAGACGCGAGAGACCGUUGACCAGGGGAGGACGGCCACGGCUCACGGACCAAGAAGAGCGAGGAGAAAACGCAUUUUCCUCUCCAGAACCAGAAGCUGUGUCUGCAGGCAGCUAACAACAGGGUUGCCUCGAGAGGUGGGGUUGCAGCCGGCCUAGGAGAACAGGGACCGGCAAUGGGGAGCAGCACGGCGGGGCUGCUGCUGAGCUCCUCCCUCUUGAGCACCCCCUGAGACGCAGACCAGGUCCAGGGCCCUGCACCCCCAAACAUGGGCCCCUUUGAGUCGGGUCUCUCCUAAAGGGCCCAUCCUUCAUUGCUUCACCUCACCUUCCCUUUCAGGGUUUUAAUGCUCACAGUGGCCGUGGCAGCCCCAACCCCCAGGUCAGCAGUUUGACUCCACCAGCUUGUCCAGGUGAGAGAGAGACGAGACUGCCUGCCUGUUCCUGUGAAGAUGGACAGUCUCGGACACCUGCAGGGGCAGUUCUACCCUGUUCCAUGGGGUGGCUAUGGCACCAGGUUUCCCUGGUACACACGCAGAUGCAAUGGUUCUUGGGGCAGUGAGUUUAAUGAAUUAAUUCCGAGAGCAUGA